CAACCGCCGGACGGAUGGGAUUUAGUGACGGACCAGGAAGUAAACACAACCUAUUUGUUUUAUCCCUUCGUCUUUAUUUAUCUCUCCUUUUUCAAAUACGAAUUUACAUUAUAUACGGCUCAUAUAUUUAUAAUAAUAAGCAAGGAAACAUUUGUACCAUUUUAAUUGUUUAAAUAGCACUAGCGAGGUUCCCACAUUCGCAAAACAGCCUUAUUUUAAAUAUUUUAAAAAUUGCCCAAGAUAUAACCGCAUGUAGUUAGACCGGCUAAUGACAUCAAGUCCGGGUGUCACAAUGAAGAGAUUUUACACAUGCAGUUGCUUUUUUACAGACAAUAUUUUUCUUGAAGAAUACAAACUUCAUGUUCGAUUCGUCUCGGAGAGUCAGUUCAGGAAGGACUAUGAAAGUAUACUUAGAUCCCUUGGUUGUGUGUCUGGAUCUCAAGUCUGCGACGUGCUUGGAAAGAUUCAUGCAGAAAUCAAGAGAAGGCAUAAUCAUACAUUGGAAUCAGCAAAGAGAGCAGCUGUCAUCCAGGAGAUUUAUAAACCUCUACAUCAGCAUGUUUAUCAUCUACAGGAAUCAUAUCUGGCCCCAGAGCUUUUACAGAUGGUUAAAUAUGGCGGUUCAAGUGAAGCAACCAUGGAGGGACUGAUGAAACUUAUCCAGACAGAGGCAGCACCAGGAGUCUAUCGAUUUCCAGUGUUCACAAAGGAAUUCUGCAAGGACCUCAUAGAGGAGCUGGAGCAUUUUGAACAGUCUGAGGCACCAAAGGGCAGGCCAAACACCAUGAACAAUUAUGGGAUUCUACUUAAUGAACUGGGCUUUGAUGAAAGCUUCAUCACACCACUGAGGGAGCUCUAUCUGCAUCCACUUACAGCUCUGCUCUACAGUGAUUGUGGAGGAAGCUAUUUGGAUAGUCACAAAGCUUUUGUGGUGAAGUAUGCCAUGCAGGAAGACUUGGAUCUUAGCUAUCAUUAUGACAACGCUGAAGUGACUCUCAAUGUAUCACUGGGGAAAGAGUUCAUGGAAGGGAACCUGUUCUUUGGAGCCAUGAGACAGGUGCCUCUAAGUGAGACCGAGUGCGUGGAGGUGGAGCAUCACGUAACUGAGGGUCUGCUUCACAGGGGCCAGCACAUGCAUGGAGCUUUGCCUAUUUCCUCAGGCACACGCUGGAACCUGAUUAUAUGGAUGCGAGCUUCACGUGAGAGGAACAAACUCUGUCCAAUGUGUGGUAGGAUAUCAUCCAGCCAUGCCAGAUCGUGUUGAGAGAAGACCAUGUCCAACAUCUUACGGACCACCAUGAGACCAAGAAUCUUAAGGAAUUGAGAGAGGCUGUUCCAAACAAUUCAGUAAUGGCUGUGGGGGGACGGGGGGAGGUUGGAAAAAGGCAUUUAAAAGGCAUUUACCUGGAUGCCACUGAGAGAGGCAACACCCAUGUAGAGGAAUACUCCAUACAAGACCGGCAUAGGAAUGAACUACAAGCAGAAAACAAGCCAUACACUUCAGCCUUUACCACAAACAACAGCAGUUACACUUAAGUGAAACAUAAAUUAUCAGUGUAACUCUUGAUUUGAACAAAACUUGUAGGGGCAAGCACCUUUUAAACAAGGCGAAUGCCCUUUUUAAUUUCUUUUAAAUGUUUAUUUGUUAUUCAGGUUUUCUAAGGCUGUUUGACCUUUAAAAAAAAACAUAACUACAUUUAAAGUCCCAUGAUAUAAAAAAAACUUUUAAUGUCAUGGCUGUAAUUGUGAUCGCAUCUGACCAUCUGAAGAUGAUUUUCAGGCUACUAUACUUUGUCCACCUUCUGUGAAUAGUUCAUUGUAUUUUUAAGAAAUAAAUGCUUUUAAUGGACAACAUUUGUUUGCUCUUUACCCAGUUGAAACAGACACAGCUAAAGUAGAGUAGAUCGCGCAGGCAUCAUCAUAG